rnacentral:misc_RNA from 1 species
GUGAACGCCCUCACGGGCUUAUACUAUUCCAAACCUCUGCUGAACCGUGCCCUUCGGGGCUAUUUUACAAACAUGGUGUAAUGAACGUCAUAUAUCAUAACAAAACA